rnacentral:rRNA from 1 species
AACAAACGCUGGCGGCGUGCCUAAUACAUGCAAGUCGAACGGGGUAGCAAUACCUAGUGGCGCACGGGUGAGGAACGCGUGGAUAAUCUGCCUUAGAGUGGGGGAUAACUAGUCGAAAGAUUAGCUAAUACCGCAUAAGACCACAGGAGCUGCGGCUCUAGGGGUCAAAGGUUUUUCGCUCUAAGAUGAGUCCGCGUAAGAUUAGCUAGUUGGUGAGGUAACGGCUCACCAAGGCGACGAUCUUUAACUGGUCUGAGAGGAUGAUCAGUCACACUGGAACUGCGACACGGUCCAGACUCCUAAGGGAGGCAGCAGUAGGGAAUAUUGCACAAUGGAGGAAACUCUGAUGCAGCGACGCCGCGUGAGUGAUGAAGGCCUUCGGGUCGUAAAGCUCUGUCGCAGGGGAAUAACACAAUGAAUGUACCCUGUAAGAAAGGAUCGGCUAACUUCGUGCCAGCCGCCGCCGUAAAAC